GUGAAAUUGUUGAAAGGGAAGCGCUUGCAACCAGACCUGCCUGCAGUUGCUCAUCCGUGGCUUUUGCCCGGUGCACUCUUCUGCUGUCAGGCCAGCAUCAGUUCGGGCGGUCGGAUAAAGGCUUCGGGAAUGUAGCUCCUCUCGGGGAGUGUUAUAGCCCGUUGCGAAAUGCGGCCAGCCUGGACUGAGGUCCGCGCUUCGGCUAGGAUGCUGGCGUAAUGGUUGUAAGCGGCCCGUCUUGAAACACGGACCAAGGAGUCUAACAUCUGUGCGAGUGUUUGGGUGUUAAACCCGUACGCGUAAUGAAAGUGAACGGAGGCGGGAACCCCUCGGGGUGCACCGUCGACCGAUCCUGAUGUCUUCGGAUGGAUUUGAGUAAGAGCAUAGCUGUUGGGACCCGAAAGAUGGUGAACUAUGCCUGAAUAGGGUGAAGCCAGAGGAAACUCUGGUGGAGGCUCGCAGCGGUUCUGACGUGCAAAUCGAUCGUCAAAUUUGGGCAUAGGGGCGAAAGACUAAUCGAACUAUCUAGUAGCUGGUUCCUGCCGAAGUUUCCCUCAGGAUAGCAGUAACGUUUUCAGUUUUAUGAGGUAAAGCGAAUGAUUAGAGGCCUGGGGGUUGAAACAACCUUCACCUAUUCUCAAACUUUAAAUAUGUAAGAAGUCCUUGUUGCUCAGUUGAACGUGGACAUUUGAAUGUAUCGUUACUAGUGGGCCAUUUUUGGUAAGCAGAA
rnacentral:rRNA from 1 species